GUGUCAGCAGCCGCGGUAAUACGGAGGGUGCAAGCGUUAAUCGGAAUUACUGGGCGUAAAGCGCGCGUAGGUGGCUAAGUCAGCCAGGUGUGAAAGCCCCGGGCUCAACCUGGGAACGGCAUCUGGAACUGCUUGGCUAGAGUGCAGGAGAGGAAGGUAGAAUUCCCGGUGUAGCGGUGAAAUGCGUAGAGAUCAGGAGGAAUACCAGUGGCGAAGGCGGCCUUCUGGACUGACACUGACACUGAGGUGCGAAAGCGUGGGUAGCAAACAGGAUUAGAAACCCCGGUAGUCC
rnacentral:rRNA from 1 species